rnacentral:rRNA from 1 species
AACGAACGCUGGCGGCAUGCCUAACACAUGCAAGUCGAACGAGACCUUCGGGUCUAGGGGCGCACGUGUGCGUAACGCGUGGGAACCUUCCCUUAGGUUCGGAAUAACUCAGAGAAGUUUAAGCUAAUACCGGAUAAUUUCUUCGACCCAAAGACUUAUCGCCUUUGGAUGGGCCCGCGUAGGAUUAGCUUGUUGGUGGGUAAUGGCCUAUCCAGGGGACGAUGCUUAGCUGGGCUGGGAGGAUGAUCAGCCACACUGGGACUGAGACCCGGACCAGACUCCUACGGGAGGCAGCAGUUGUGAAUAUUGGACAAUGGGCGAAAGCAUAAUCCAGCCAUGCCGCGUGAGUGAUGAAGGCCUGAGGGUUGUAAAGCUCUUUUAACAGGGAUGAUAAUGACAGUACCUAGAGAAUAAGCUCCGGCUAACUCCGUG